GACGAACGCUGGCGGCGUGCCUAAUACAUGCAAGUAGAACGCUGAAGGGAGAGCUUGCUCUUCUGGAUGAGUUGCGAACGGGUGAGUAACGCGUAGGUAACCUGCCUGGUAGCGGGGGAUAACUAUUGGAAACGAUAGCUAAUACCGCAUAAGAGUAGAUGUUGCAUGACAUUUGCUUAAAAGGUGCAAUUGCAUCACUACCAGAUGGACCUGCGUUGUAUUAGCUAGUUGGUGGGGUAACGGCUCACCAAGGCGACGAUACAUAGCCGACCUGAGAGGGUGAUCGGCCACACUGGGACUGAGACACGGCCCAGACUCCUACGGGAGGCAGCAGUAGGGAAUCUUCGGCAAUGGACGGAAGUCUGACCGAGCAACGCCGCGUGAGUGAAGAAGGUUUUCGGAUCGUAAAGCUCUGUUGUAAGAGAAGAACGAGUGUGAGAGUGGAAAGUUCACACUGUGACGGUAUCUUACCAGAAAGGGACGGCUAACUACGUGCCAGCAGCCGCGGUAAUACGUAGGUCCCGAGCGUUGCCCGGAUUUAUUGGGCGUAAAGCGAGCGCAGGCGGUUAGAUAAGUCUGAAGUUAAAGGCUGUGGCUUAACCAUAGUACGCUUUGGAAACUGUUUAACUUGAGUGCAAGAGGGGAGAGUGGAAUUCCAUGUGUAGCGGUGAAAUGCGUAGAUAUAUGGAGGAACACCGGUGGCGAAAGCGGCUCUCUGGCUUGUAACUGACGCUGAGGCUCGAAAGCGUGGGGAGCAAACAGG
rnacentral:rRNA from 1 species